rnacentral:rRNA from 1 species
UACGAAGGGUGCAAGCGUUGUCCGGAAUUAUUGGGCGUAAAGAGCUCGUAGGCGGUUUGUCGCGUCUGCUGUGAAAACCCAGGGCUUAACCCUGGGCCUGCAGUGGGUACGGGCAAACUAGAGUGCGGUAGGGGAGAUCGGAAUUCCUGGUGUAGCGGUGAAAUGCGCAGAUAUCAGGAGGAACACCGGUGGCGAAGGCGGAUCUCUGGGCCGUAACUGACGCUGAGGAGCGAAAGCAUGGGUAGCGAACAGG